CCCUUAGAUGUCCUGGGCCGCACGCGCGCUACACUGACAUGUUCAACAAGCCUCCUAGUUCGACAGGAUUUGGGAAAUCUUUGAACGCAUGUCGUGAUAGGGAUAGAUCAUUGCAAUUAUUGAUCUUGAACGAGGAAUUCCUAGUAAACGCGAGUCAUCAGCUCGCAUUGAUUACGUCCCUGCCCUUUGUACACACCGCCCGUCGCACCUACCGAUUGAAUGGUUCGGUGAAGAUCUCGGACUUCGAUAUUUAUUCUUUAUUGAGUUUAUAUUGUGGGAAGUUAUCUAAACCUCAUCAUUUAGAGGAAGGUGAAGUCGUAACA
rnacentral:rRNA from 1 species